ACGCAGGCCCCGCCUCCCGUGGGACAGGGCCUGAGGGGACUCGGCGGGAGCUUCCAGGCGAGGGCGAUGCAAAAGGCCAAGAUGUACAGACCUAAGAUGGAUGUAGCCUGUCACACACAGGAGUAAAAUGUCCAUAUUAAAAGACACUGCCUUUCAAAUGGAGUUUAAAAUACCCUGUUGAAAACAAACAAAACAGAAGGAUUAAAAUAAAAGGAAGGGCAAAGUUAUGAUGGAGGAAAUAAUUUCAACCUCAAAUGGCAGUGAUAAGAACAAACAAGAUGAUAUAUAUAUAUAAAGCACAUAGCCUGUUUCUCCGCACUUGUUUCAGCUAAACAGGGGUGAAGGUUUUGGAGAAGGGAAGGAGGCAAGAGAUACUCAGUGCUGUUUUUCCUCUGCGACAGAGGGAGUUUACCAAGAAACAGAAGGUGGAUGCCACACUGCUGGGUGGCAGGUACCAUGAUUCCAUUGCCGGAAGGACUUCAACUGAAGCCCAGACCAAAAGAGGGAAGAACCGUAAAAUCAGCUUAUCAAGUUCAACAGAUCUGUUAGGAUUUGUACUGGGAUUGCAUUGAAUUUAUGGAUUAAUUUGCAAAAUUGACAUCUUUGAAAUAUCUACUCUUUCAUCCAGAACCAUGUAGUUUUCCAUCUAGUCAGGUCUUCUUUUGUGUCUUCAAUAAAAUGUUACCGUUUUCUUCAUGUG